rnacentral:rRNA from 1 species
UACGUAGGGUGCGAGCGUUAAUCGGAAUUACUGGGCGUAAAGCGUGCGCAGGCGGUUGUGCAAGACCGAUGUGAAAUCCCCGGGCUUAACCUGGGAACUGCAUUGGUGACUGCACGGCUAGAGUGUGUCAGAGGGGGGGUAGAAUUCCACGUGUAGCAGUGAAAUGCGCAGAUAUCAGGAGGAACACCGAUGGCGAAGGCAGCUCGCUGGGACGGUACUGACGCUGAGGCGCGAAAGCGUGGGGGAGCGAACAGG